AUCGUAAAACUUUUCUUUUAGUUUAUUCAACCGUUAUACUAUCUUUUAUUGGAUUACUGUGUCUUUUUUUUUUAUGUGUACCUCCAGGCGAAAAUGAGUUUUACAAACAUUUGGUGACAUAUAUUAUAAUCUUGGUGUGGCCGAUAAAUCAUAUGAUAUUGAUAUUUGUCGUUUGGAGAGCGCGGGGGUGUUGGCAGUAACGUAUCUGCUCCUGAACCAACUGCAUGUCAUAGACUGGUACGACUUUCCCGGAUAUAUACACUUCGGUCCCGAAGGAGGAGGAGGAGGAGGUGGUGGUGGAGGAGGCGGACAGAGCCACUAUGGAAAAGGAAAAGGCGGAGGAAGAGGCGGAGGAAGAGGCGGAGGCGGAGGCGGAGGCGGAGGUCGAGGAAAAAGAUCGACCUCAGAUAAAGAUAAAUCGGAUAUUUACUGGGCGAUCGUAGCUUACGCAUGUUGGAGUUUCUCACUUUGGGUCCCACCAUUGGCAAAAUCAUCUAUAGACGCUCUAGAAGGGAACUACGCCUGGCAAUGUUCAAUUU